GCUAGGAUGACCGAGUGGUCUAAGGCACUAGACUCAAGUUCUAGUCUUUGAAAGAGGUCGUGGGUUCAAAUCCCACUUCUAACA